GUCAUAUGCUUGUCUCAAAGAUUAAGCCAUGCAUGUCUCAGUACAAGCCAAAUUAAGGUGAAACCGCGAAAGGCUCAUUAAAUCAGUUAUGGUUCCUUAGAUCGUACCCACAAUUACUUGGAUAACUGUGGUAAUUCUAGAGCUAAUACAUGCAAAUAGAGCUCCGACCGGAGACGGAAGGAGUGCUUUUAUUAGAUCAAAACCAAUCGGUGGCGGGUUCGCUCGUCAUCGUACAACUUGGUGACUCUGAAUAACUUUACGCUGAUCGCACGGUCAUUGCACCGGCGACGCAUCUUUCAAAUGUCUGCCUUAUCAACUGUCGAUGGUAGGUUCUGCGCCUACCAUGGUUGUAACGGGUAACGGGGAAUCAGGGUUCGAUUCCGGAGAGGGAGCCUGAGAAACGGCUACCACAUCCAAGGAAGGCAGCAGGCGCGCAAAUUACCCACUCCCGGCACGGGGAGGUAGUGACGAAAAAUAACGAUACGGGACUCAUCCGAGGCCCCGUAAUCGGAAUGAGUACACUCUAAACCCUUUAACGAGGAUCAAUUGGAGGGCAAGUCUGGUGCCAGCAGCCGCGG
rnacentral:rRNA from 1 species